UGCGUAGGUGGCUAUAUAAGUCAGUGGUGAAAUACUCCAGCUCAACUGGAGGGGUGCCAUUGAAACUGUAUAGCUUGAGUAUGGACGAGGUAGGCGGAAUUUGUGGUGUAGCGGUGAAAUGCAUAGAUACCACAAAGAACACCGAUAGCGAAGGCAGCUUACUAGGCCAUAACUGACACUGAGGCACGAAAGCGUGGGGAGCGAACAGGAUUAGAUACCCUGGUAGUCC
rnacentral:rRNA from 1 species